rnacentral:rRNA from 1 species
CACGUAGGGCGCAAGCGUUGUCCGGAAUUAUUGGGCGUAAAGAGCUCGUAGGUGGUCUGUUGCGUCCGCUGUGAAAACUCGGGGCUUAACCCCGAGCCUGCAGUGGAUACGGGCAGACUAGAGGUAGGUAGGGGAGAAUGGAAUUCCUGGUGUAGCGGUGAAAUGCGCAGAUAUCAGGAGGAACACCGGUGGCGAAGGCGGUUCUCUGGGCCUGUACUGACGCUGAGGAGCGAAAGCGUGGGGAGCGAACAGG